AAUGAACGCUGGUGGCAGACCUAACACAUGCAAGUCGAACGAUUUAUAAAACUUCGGUUUUGUAAAGAGUGGCAAACGGGUGAGUAAUGCAUAGGUAUAUGCCCUUUAGACUAGGAUAGCCACUGGAAACGGUGAUUAAUACUGGAUACACCCUACGGGGGAAAGAUUUAUUGCUAAAGGAUUGGCCUAUGUGGUAUCAGGUAGUUGGUGGGGUAAGAGCCUACCAAGCCAAUGACGCCUAGCUGGUCUGAGAGGAUGAUCAGCCACACUGGAACUGAGACACGGUCCAGACUCCUACGGGAGGCAGCAGUGGGGAAUAUUGCACAAUGGAGGGAACUCUGAUGCAGCAACGCCGCGUGGAGGAUGACGCAUUUCGGUGUGUAAACUCCUUUUAUAUAGGAAGAUAAUGACGGUACUAUAUGAAUAAGCACCGGCUAACUCCGUGCCAGCCGCCGCGGUAAUU
rnacentral:rRNA from 1 species